UAGAGUUUGAUCCUGGCUCAGAUUGAACGCUGGCGGCAGGCUUAACACAUGCAAGUCGAGCGGUUUAGUUAGCUUGCUAACUAGAUAGCGGCGAACGGGUGAGUAAUGCCUAGGAAUCUGCCUGAUAGUGGGGGACAACGUGUGGAAACGCACGCUAAUACCGCAUACGUCCUACGGGAGAAAGGGGGCUUUUCGGAGCUCUCGCUAACAGAUGAGCCUAGGUCAGAUUAGCUAGUUGGUGAGGUAAAGGCUCACCAAGGCGACGAUCUGUAGCGGGUCUGAGAGGAUGAUCCGCCACACUGGAACUGAGACACGGUCCAGACUCCUACGGGAGGCAGCAGUGGGGAGUAUUGGACAAUGGGCGAAAGCCUGAUCCAGCCAUGCCGCGUGUGUGAAGAAGGCCUUUUGGUUGUAAAGCACUUUAAGCGGGGAGGAGGCUACUUUGGUUAAUACCCAAGGAUAGUGGACGUUACCCGCAGAAUAAGCACCGGCUAACUCUGUGCCAGCAGCCGCGGUAAUACAGAGGGUGCGAGCGUUAAUCGGAAUUACUGGGCGUAAAGCGCGCGUAGGCGGCUUGUUAAGUCGGAUGUGAAAUCCCUGGGCUCAACCUAGGCAUUGCAUACGAUACUGGCAAGCUAGAGUAUGGGAGAGGAAGGUAGAAUUCCAGGUGUAGCGGUGAAAUGCGUAGAGAUCUGGAGGAAUACCGAUGGCGAAGGCAGCC
rnacentral:rRNA from 1 species